GGCCUCGUAGCUCAGUUGGCUAGGGCACUGGCUGUACUAAAGCCAUCCCCUUGUUUAAAUGGGUUCGAAUCCCACCGAGGCCG
rnacentral:tRNA from 1 species